GUCACAGUGGCAGUUGUAAUACAAGGCAAUAUGACCCUUGUGGACACUCUAAAACCAAUAUGCUUCAAAAGAUUUUAACCACAUUUGGUAUAUUGUUCCUCCUUGUAAUGAUCUGACAUUUUUUACGUUCAAGGCCAAAGGUCAAGGUCAUGCAGAUGGACUUGUUUUUUCUCCUUGAAAUAGCAUAAUACACAGGAAAUUGGUUGCUAAUUUUUUACCUGCUGGUUCUAAAGACAAUAUUAAAGGUAUUUCCAGUUACUAAAUGUUUUGGUUGAUUUCUAAAACAAGAAUGUGUCCAUAGUACACAGAUGCCCCACUCGCAUUAUAAUUUUUCAUGUUCAGUGGACCGUGAAAUUGGGGUCAAAACUUUAAUUUGGAAUUAAAAUUAGAAAGAUCAUAUCAUAGGGAACAUGUGUACUAAGUUUCAAGUAGUUGUGACUUUAACUUCAUCAAAAACUACCUUGACCAAAAACUUUAACCUGAACUUCGCACUUUCAUUUUCUAUGUUCAGUUGACCAUGAAAUUGGGGUCAAACUAUAAUUUGGCAUUAAAAUUAGAAAGAUCAUAUCAUGGGGAACAUGUGUACUAAGUUUCAAGUGGAUUGGACUUCAACUUCAUCAAAAACUACCUUGACCAAAAACUUUAACCUGAAGUCGGACGAACGAACGGACGAACGGACGAACGAACGGAGGCACAGACCAGAAAACAUAAUGCCCCUCUACUAUCGUAGGUGGGGCAUAAAAAUAGUUUAUGUAUCAAAUAUGCAUAUUCAAUUUACCUUUUUCUGCAUGUGUCAUAUAGAAAUAUAGUGUCCAUAUUUGUCCCCAAUAUGUUACAUACGAGGGGAUGCCACGCUCG
rnacentral:lncRNA from 1 species